rnacentral:lncRNA from 1 species
AGAUAUACUCUCCAAAAUUUAUAAUAAUUAACACAGACCACAAAUCACAAAAUGACCGGCCAUCAACGGAUCGGACUCGAGGCGGAUUUUUUAAAAUCUAAAUCCGAAUUCGUCUGCAAAUUCGAAAUCCAAAUCUAACAGAUUUUAAAAAUCUAAAUCCAAAUCCGAACCCGAUAAAAAAUUCGAAACCCGAACCUCAGCCCGAAAAUCCAAAUUUGAAAUAAUUAUUUUUCUUUAUCAUAUUUCAAAAUAUAUUAUAUUAAAUCUAAAAUUUUAAAUUACAAAUUUAAAUAUUACAUCAAACAAUCAAUUUGAGUUCGUGUUUAAAUCGGAAAGAGCUAAAAUUCAUAUCCGAAUCUAAAUUCGGCGGAUUUUUAUUUUUUAUAUUGGUAUCUAAAACUAUAUCUAUUUAUCAUCAGAUAUAUUCGUUUAACGAUUCGGAUUUAGAUAAAAUUUUUGGUAUU